ACUUUGUGGUCGACUCGAAUUUGGCUCUAAAUACCUUACGAGCACCAUGUCUGACUCGGGCUUCCUCAGACUUUUACCAAGUUGCUUGUAGUUCUUGCGGCCGGGCAUUUCAUCGUUUCUUUACUUUCUCGGUGAAGCGGAAAGCGGACCAUGAGCGUUCACGCUUCUAGCACUAAGUGCUAGGCCUUUCACUGGUUCGCACAAUCUGUUCCAAGGACAGUGCCAGGCGGGGAGUUUGACUGGAGCGGUACAUCUGCCAAAUGGUAACGCAGGUGUCCUAAGGCGAGCUCAGCGAGGACAGAAACCUUGCUUAGAGCAAAAGGGAAAAUGGUUGAUGAUCUUGAUUUUCAGUACGAGUACAAGCCGCGAAAGCGGGGCCCCUCGAUCCUUUUGGCUUUAAGAGAUCUAAGCAAGAGGUGUCAGAAAAGUUACCACAGGGACAACUCUCUCAUGGCGGUCAAGCGUUCACAGUGACGUCAUUUUUUGUUGCUUCAUGUCGGUUCUUCCUAUCAUUACGAAGCAGAAUUUGCCAAGCGUUGGAUUGUCCACCCACUAAUAGGGAACGUGAGCUGGGUUUCGGCCGUCGUGAGACAGGUUAGCU
rnacentral:rRNA from 1 species